rnacentral:rRNA from 1 species
UACGUAGGGAGCGAGCGUUGUCCGGAUUCAUUGGGCGUAAAGAGCUCGUAGGCGGCUUGGUAAGUCGGAUGUGAAACCUCCAGGCUCAACCUGGAGUCGCCAUCCGAUACUGCCAUGGCUAGAGUCCGGUAGGGGCCCACGGAAUUCCUGGUGUAGCGGUGAAAUGCGCAGAUAUCAGGAGGAACAUCGGUGGCGAAGGCAGUGGGCUGGGCCGGCACUGACGCUGAGGAGCGAAAGCGUGGGGAGCGAACAGG